GCUUAUGGCCAUACCACCCUGAGCACGCCCGAUCUCGUCUGAUUUCGGAAGCUAAGCAGGGCCUGGUUAGAACUUGGAUGGGAGACUGCCUGGGAAUACCAGGUGCUGUAAGCU
rnacentral:rRNA from 1 species